UGGGGUGUCGCCAAGUGGUAAGGCAGCGGUUUUUGGUACCGCCAUUCGGAGGUUCGAGUCCUUCCACCCCAA
rnacentral:tRNA from 2 species